UUUUUUUUUUUAGAGAAAAGUCAAAUUUUUAAAAAGUGGAAAUCAGAGAAAAUGGAAAGGCAUGAGAAGAAGGUAAAAAAAGCUACUGGCAUCACCUGUCUUCUGAAGCGGAAGGAAGAGGGUGCCUGAGGAACUUAGCUUGAAUUAGAAAAUUCCCGACUGAGCCAUGGAGUUAUCGUGUUCCAGGCAUGUGAAAAGGUGGCUGGGAUUAAAUCUUCCAGUGUUAGAGCUACAGGAGGCUCUAGUAUUUUUCUUAUCAACUAUAAAAUGCCUGGAAAAAGGGCCUUAACGCCCCAAUACAAUCAAAGCCUGGAGAUUGCAUAUGUAAUAGUUCCCCAAAAAAGAUUCAUAAUAUGUAGAAGAAAUUUUGCUGAGGAAAGAAUCUUUUUGUUUAUUUUGUUUUUUAGGGCCACACAUGCGGUAUAUGGACGUUCUCAGGCUAGGGUCAAAUCAGAGCUGUAGCUGCCGGCCCACACCACAGCCACAGCAAUGUCAGAUCUGAGCCACAUCUGUGACCUACACUGCAUCUCACGGCAAUGCCGGAUCCUUAACCCGCUGAGCGAGGCUAGGGAUCGAACCUGCAUCCUCAUGGAUCCUAGUUGGGUUUGUUACCUACCACUGAGCCACAGUGGGAACGCUCUGAGGAAAGAAUCUUAACAGAAGUUUUGAAGUUAGCCAACAAGAAAAAUUCAUCUACUCGCUCCUUGAUUCAUUCAUUUGAAAAAUACCAAUUGCAUCCACUAGGGCUUGGGUCCAAUGUCAAGUCCUGAGGUUACAUCUGUGAACAAGGCAUAGUCUAGACACUCAAAAGUGCUCACUUGCAAGUGAGGAGAGCCACCCAUAAGCGGGCCUUGAUCAUGCAAACUGAUGAGACAGGAGAUGGGAGAGGGCAAAGUGCGGAGGACACACCUGGGAGGCUACCAAGCCCGCCUCCAGAGCUCCCUGGGGAGUCGCGUGGCAUGUUUGAUGCCUGCAACUCACCCCAGUGACACUUUGUUAUUCUUUACGGUUAACGUGUAUACAAGGAAGUGAUUAAACAACAUGAGUGGGGUGUGUGUGUUUGUGUUUAUGCACGUAAAAAAGGAUCCUGAACAGAACCACAGCUUGUGACAGGAUAGUAUUUAAAUAUUUAAAUACUGAAGCUCGUGGUUUUAUUUAUUUAUUUAUUUAUGUAUUUGAAGCUGAAGCUCAGAGAAAGGAUUUGAUGUCUUAGACCCCAGGGCUGAGCCGCAUCUGGAACCCAGGUCUCCAAGCUCUGGAACCCAGAGCCCUCUACAUGCACCGAUUUAAUAUUUACAGCUGUAACCUUUGUACAUCUUACACAGAAGAAGGGGCCCUGGUCACAGAGGCUCAGAAGACAGAAUCUCUAGGCCAUAUUUGACCACCAAGAAUCUGGGAGAGCCUCAAUUCACUGUCCCGAGUUCCAUCUGCCCACCUGUAACCUGAGCAAGGGCUUCUCCACGUCGUCUGGUGUCCCCGAUGGUUAUUCAGAAUAGAUGAAAGUGUCUUAUCCACAAAUACACUGAACACAAGUAUUGGUUGAAGAAAGGAGUUUAGACACACACACACACACACACACACACACUAUGCCAAUGCAUCGCCCUUCUCAGAUUCAGAAGCCACUGCUGGUGUUCUCCUUACUCCGAGUCUCGGGAGCACUGGCCUGUACAGCUGACAUCAAAAACAGAAUGGUUUCCUAUUGGAAACGACAAUCUAUGAGCUGUUGCAGGACAAGCCCUGGGGUGGGGAGGCUCUGAUCUUCUAGAACCUGCUGGUGGGCUGCUGCUGCAGGUACCCAGCCCUGGACCUGAGCCACGGAACAGACACUGAGGAGGGCAAAGACAGAGAGAACGAACCAACUGACCACGGAAGAUAAUGACCCCAGUGAAACCAAGUGCCUAAAGGGGAGAGACGUCCAUGUGGGAGAGGAGGAGAGAAGAGAGGGAGAGGGAGCAACAGAGAGACGUGGAGGAGGAGGAAGAGGAGGAGCAGGAGGGAAGAGGAAACAAGAGAACAGGAGCACGUGGGAGCUUCGGGUCAACAGUCGAGACCCAAAUGAACGACAUGGAAGAUCAAGCUGAAGGACGCUUUAUUCGAGCCUCACCCUCAGUAAGACAAAGAGCCUGGAUAAAAUCCCUUUAAGGUGAGACUGCACAAAGCAUCGUGCUGGAUCUGCUGGGCAGCUCCCCAGAACUCCAGCCCCUGUGGCCAAUGCCAGGGGGAAGAGUUUGGGGUCUGGUGCGUUCUGGACCCAGAUUCCCAUGGUAGCAUUUAGCCGCUAGAUUAUCCCGAGCCUGGGAGAUGUUNCCAUUCCAUUAUCCCCCCAACCCUGUUCCCUGGGCCAGUGUCAGCCCCAGGCGCUGUGCUGAGGAGGGCAGGUUGUGUAGAAAGGGGCAGGCUCCCCCUGGAGAUCCCCACCCAGGGAUCCCCGGGCAACACUCCUCCAAGGACUUUUCUUCUCUAGGAACUCGCUUCUGUCAGCCUCUCUUGUCUGUCCACUGGCCCCUAAGCCUUCCAUCUACAAGUUCAGUUUCUAAGUCAACAGGACCCCCAGACAGGCCUCCGGUCCCCUUGGGGGAACUGUCAGGAUCUGUGUGUGUGUGUGUUGCAAGCAAGCUCAUUGCAUGGACCUGGCACAGGCGGGAUCCAGCUCCCUUCCAGGGCCACGUGACCCUGGCAGCAUUACUCACUUGGGUGCCCUCCAGCAGGGGCAGCUGGGGACACCUCCCUAGAGUGACUACAGCGUUUAUCACGGGGAUGACUCAGCCCGCCCGAGCCUCUCUCUCCCUGAAAAGGGAAUCUGAGGCCAGGGCCGGGGUGAGAGUGUCCAUUAGACCAUCUAUAGCCUCGGGAGCCCGGAAACUCCCCUCACCUGGGAAGCACGCAGGACGGACGGACGGGAUGAGUAAAGCUCAGGUCAGUGGCUCAGAAACUCAGAGUGAAGCAUGACUUUAUUCUAGAAGCUUGGGUGACC
rnacentral:lncRNA from 1 species